ACGGAGGGUGCGAGCGUUAAUCGGAAUUACUGGGCGUAAAGGGUGCGUAGGUGGUUUAUUAAGUUAGCUGUGAAAUUCCUGGGCUUAACCUGGGCAGGUCAGCUAAGACUGGUAGACUCGAGUAUGGGAGAGGGUAGUGGAAUUUCCGGUGUAGCGGUGAAAUGCGUAGAGAUCGGAAGGAACACCAGUGGCGAAGGCGGCUACCUGGCCUAAUACUGACACUGAGGCACGAAAGCGUGGGGAGCAAACAGG
rnacentral:rRNA from 1 species